GACCUGGGCUUGAAAAUUUGGGAAAAUAAUAGUCCCUGUUUUAUACAGUGAUCGCACUCAUCUUUCUUAUCUCUAUUUUGUUUCAGGAUCUGUUCUUAUUCUUGACCCUCCUGGAUAAAAUCAAGAUUUCCCAGAGGAUGUAUUACGGCAAUAAAACUGAACAUUUUUAUAUUUGGCAAAGAGAUAGGGCUGAAUGAAGAUGACUGAUCUGAGAUUAGUGGACAGAGACUUUUCUCAUCACAAAUAAACGUAUUCACUUUCUAAUAUACA
rnacentral:lncRNA from 1 species